GUUAAGUGGGAAACGAUGUGGGAAGGCCCAGACAGCCAGGAUGUUGGCUUAGAAGCAGCCAUCAUUUAAAGAAAGCGUAAUAGCUCACUGGUCGAGUCGGCCUGCGCGGAAGAUGUAACGGGGCUAAGUAGUAAACCGAAGCUGCGGCAAUAUACUUUUGUAUAUUGGGUAGGGGAGCGUUCUGUAAGCGGUUGAAGGUGUGUGGUAACGCAUGCUGGACGUAUCAGAAGUGCGAAUGCUGACAUGAGUAACGAUAAAGGGGGUGAAAAACCUCCUCGCCGGAAGACCAAGGGUUCCUGUCCAACGUUAAUCGGGGCAGGGUGAGUCGACCCCUAAGGCGAGGCCGAAAGGCGUAGUCGAU
rnacentral:rRNA from 1 species